rnacentral:rRNA from 1 species
GACGAACCGUGCGAACGUUGUUCGGAUUCACUGGGCUUAAAGGGCGCGUAGGCGGGCGAUCAAGUCAGGGGUGAAAUCUUUCGGCUCAACCGGAAAAGGGCCUUUGAUACUGGUCGCCUCGAGGGAGGUAGGGGCAUGCGGAACUUCCGGUGGAGCGGUGAAAUGCGUAGAUAUCGGAAGGAACGCCGGUGGCGAAAGCGGCGUGCUGGACCUCUUCUGACGCUAAGGCGCGAAAGCCAGGGGAGCGAACCGG